AUUCUUCAGUCUGACUGAAUGGGCCUGCAAACAGCAAAUAACAACUCGUGAAACUAACGUGCGUAUGCCUGCUAGUCACCAGCUCUGCUCAUACUCUUUCUUGUUGAUUUCAGUUGCAGUUUCUUCUAACAAAAAAAAUGCUCUGAAAAUUUUAGGAAUCAUAAAUCUCUUUAAACUCUCCAAGCCGAGCCCGCCAGAAAGUUGCUAUAAUAGUUCAUGGUCAAAGACAUGGUGGAUACACCCAUCAAAGAGAAGCAGCCCAGGAUGCAAUUUAUAAAUGUUUGCCUUCAGCCCAGACCUAUGCAUACUAAAUAGCCUA